CACCAGAGGGCGCAAGAGACCGCGGGGGUGGAAAAGGCCGCUCGGUCGAGAUUGCGCGCAUGAGAUGAAGUUAAGGAUCUUCGGGUAAAGAGAUUAUCAUGGAUUACCUGAGUGGAUUAUUGAUGUUAUCUCAAGCAUCCUGUUAAGAGAGAAGGGAGAUUAGCCACCCAACACAGAAGUGAAAUUGAUGUGAAGAUGAAGGCAGAGAUUAGUGUGAUGCCUCUAAAAGUCAAGCAGUGCCAGCAGUUACCAAAAGCUGGAAGAAGAAGCUUCUCUAGAGCCUCCAGAGGGUUUGACUCUUUUCACCAACAAUAAUCUGGUGCCCAACAUUGGGCCUCAGAGAAGACUCAGGACCCUGAAGGAGUUGCCCAAAACUGGAGCUAAGGUACCAGCAGGAGCCCAUUGAAGCCUCACCGAAUUCGAGCUUCUCCUUCGGUGGAACUGGUGGACAACAAAAGGAAGAGGAACAUGACUGCACUCUACUAACUAAUAUCUUACUCUCCUCUAAGGAAGAUUUAUAGGAAAACUCCCAUUGAGAAUGCUGAAUUAAUUUGGUUCACAGAUGGUUCUUAUUUAAGGGAUAUUACCAGGCAGGAUACACCAUCACUUCCAUAACAGACAUAAUCGAAAGUGCCCAACUCCAAGGAGUCAAAUCAGCCCAGAUGGCUGAAUUAAUAGCAUUAACUAGACACCAACUGAAGGAUUCUUUACAACCCCUCCGGAAAGGACCUUUUCAGGUGCUUUUAACCAACUCUUGCUCUGCACGUUAAAGAGAGUCGCUUCUUGGAUUCACAUUUUACACCUAAAAUGAGCACCUGACCACAUCCUGACCGCCCCUGAACUUCCGCAGCAGUCUCUGACACCCACCUGCAAAUCAAGAGAACACUGGAGGCUCAGCCAAUCUCUAGGGCUACAACAAAGUCAACAUACUUCCAGAGAUGCUGGACCAGGCUAGUCCUCAUGAACCCUAAAAUAACCAUCAUUCUUACUUUCCUUGCUAUAGAAUAUUGCUAAAACCCAAAUGUUUUAACUGAGACCCCUAAGAAGCUGUUUGGAAUCUAUGCAAUCUUCUUUGGUAUAACUUUCUAAAUGGAUGUGGCUAUACAUUCCCUUGCUAAAGCCAGGAAAAUGUUUUACUUGUUCAUUCUCAUUCCCACAAUCUCCUCUGUCUACCUACCCCACACUCCUCUUUUCAAACCUGAAAAUUUCUCCCAGUUCCCUGUAAACCUCAGUAGUCUUCCUGCAGGCAGAGCCCACAUCAUUUGGUAUGAUAUAGACCAGGAGGAAAUGAAGACUGUUAUAUGGAAGAGCACCAUUCUAAACAUUCCCCAAGGUCCCCACUUUUUAGGUACCCCUAUUAUAGGGCUGCAACCAAAUAUGACACCCUGCAGGAAUACUUUUUCUAACAAUGCCUCAGGAUGAUCACUGAGGGGGUCUAACCAGGUAGAACGUUGCAUAACAAUAGAUAUUGGGGAUGAUCACUUGAGACAACUGCCUUGUUACAAUGUCUCCUGUGUAAACUGCCAUAGCAUGGCCUGCCCAAAUAACUACCAGCCCUGUGCUUGUGGCUGGAUGCUCCUAUCCAGUACCAACCACACUGACACUGCCCUUAAAUAACUAUUUAUGGAAGUCAAUUGGUGGACAGAAGUCCCUGACAGCACAAAUUCCACCCUAAAACCAGGGCGCCACUGGGAAGCCUCAUGGAAUACCCAGACAAGAGCAUACUUAGGUGUAACCUCCACUCACCUAACAAUUGUUUGGGAUACCCAGCGGUUCUGCAUUGACUCCAUUUAUCCAAAUUGUACAAAUGGCAUCAGUAUACAAUGGCAACAGCAUUCUUGAUGGAUACACGAAAAUUGGCCACCCAAAAAACUAAAGCAUGACCUCACUGGAGGAGUCAGAGCUGGGCAAGGCAUACUGGGGCAAGCUGAGUUCAUGGCUAAUGAAGAGAGACAUUCUUUAGAAAAAAAAAUCCCUAUCAAAAAUAGGCCACAUUGAAGGAAUGCUAUUCCAGGAAGAGGGAAAAGGAUGGGAAGCUGCUUUAAAAGAUAAUGCAGCACUCAUCAAAUGGAUAGAAGAAACCAGACAAACCAUGAAAACAUACUCCCAAAUCCAAAGAUGGGAACAAGCAUGUACUCUUACCUGAUAGGGGCUCAUGUCUAUUUUAUUACAAAUGGAAUCAGAGGUGGAUAUGAAGCAAUGGUCUACAAUUCUCAGUACUGAGGCACAAUCCAAACACCUGUGGAAAAUAUGUGGUCCUCCAAACUUAUGGAGAUUUUUGGACGUUAAGUGUGAUCUUAAACAUUGUAUUCUCAGAGCACAGGCACCGAAGUUAAAUGAGGCUCAAAGGUACUACCCCUGGGAAAUAGGUGGGCUAUUUUAGCUGAUAAUAACACAUGGUAUUCCAUCUCCCUUUCAGAUUAUGAAAAGAGAAAAGGAGAAUGGCUAUGGCCUCAAACCAAUUGGAACCCUGAUUUUCCUAAACUUGGCCUCUAAUAUCCACCCCCAUGGAACAUAGCAUCUGGUAUAUAAGGAAGGGCCAUUUCUGUUGGGAGGGACAACAAAAUGACACUGUAGAAUUACAUGACUUCUCCUGUAACAAAACCUCCUUUUCUCUCCCAAAUACCAGUAUAUGGUGCAAUACAAAGGUGGUGGGAAAAAUAGAUUUGUCCACUGUUAAUAAGUCCUAUAACAAUUUAGACAUUGAGGGCCAGGCAUUCCUUGCAUUUGAUUUAUACCCUCCUCAGGAUGUUAUACCCAUGGAGAUAAAUUGGCCGGAAGAGAGACUAAAUUUAUUAGAUUCUGAUUUAGUGUCAGUCCUAUAAUCCUCAAAUAAGAUUUAUCAUAAGGUUCAAACGACCCUUGAUAAGGAGGGUAAACACAUUGUGAGUCUGAUCAAAGAAUAUGAUGAUGCAUGCAGUGGUUUUUUUUUUGCUGGUUAGGUUGUUUACUGCCCUCUGACUCUACCUGUAACCUUCUUGGAUGCCUAAUCUUUGCUAUCUUGGGUAUUUUGGCAUUCGUCUCGGUAUUUAUCUUGGUAUUUGUCACUGUAUUAGCAUUAUAUAUCUCUUGUAAAUGUUAUGCCAGUUACAGCAAAAUGAACAAGGCACAAUUAAAGACCCAGAUCAUGAUAGCUCACAAAGUAGAUAUGAUCUGGGAUUUUUUUAUACUAAACCCUAGGUCUGACUCCAUCUCACCCCUUAAACUACUGGUUAUUACACCAGGUCAGACCAUUUCCUCCCCCCAUGAUCCAAAUUGCAAAUACUUAAAAUUAUUAUCACCCAACCAGACUACUCUAGGAAUGAGCGUUCCUAGCAUUGUGGGACCUGUUGCUGUUUGUUGGCCUGCAUAUGCAUUUUGUGGAAUGCUUUUUGGCCAAGAAGGGGGAUGGAGGACUAAGCUCUGUUUUUCAUUUUGCCCAAAUUCCUACCUAAGGGGUCCAGGGAGUCAUGCCCUACAAACCAUAAAUUCUCAUCAGAUGGGUUUUAUCUGACCCUGUAUAUCACGACUUACUUUUCAAUCUGACUCUGGCAUAACAUUAUGAGACAAGGAAAAAAUACUUAAUCCCAAAAUAUAUUUCCUUGCCAUACCUUGAAAUUGCCCUGCAAAGUGUCUUGUGGAAAAAAUCCACAUUCUAUAGAGAAUCCCCUUUCCCUUUUGUUUUCCUUCCUUCCUUUCCAGAUCCAGGAGAUAAUCAACUAAGAGCCUGGCACCCUUUUAGGUCCAAUAAGAAACAUUUUACAACCUGCUUUCUCUCUGAACUCUGCUAUCUGAGAGAUUCCUCUGCAUAAUAAAACUUAGUCUCCAC